GGAGUAUUGGACAAUGGGGGCAACCCUGAUCCAGCCAUGCCGCGUGAGUGAAGAAGGCCCUCGGGUUGUAAAGCUCUUUUGUCCGGAAAGAAAAGCUUCGGGUUAAUACCCCGGGGUUCUGACGGUACCGGAAGAAUAAGCACCGGCUAACUUCGUGCCAGCAGCCGCGGUAAUACGAAGGGUGCAAGCGUUACUCGGAAUUACUGGGCGUAAAGCGUGCGUAGGCGGUCUGUUAAGUCUGCUGUGAAAUCCCCGGGCUCAACCUGGGAAUGGCAGUGGAAACUGGCGGGCUAGAGUACGGUAGAGGAUGGUGGAAUUCCCGGUGUAGCGGUGAAAUGCGUAGAGAUCGGGAGGAACACCAGUGGCGAAGGCGGCCAUCUGGACCAGUACUGACGCUGAGGCACGAAAGCGUGGGGAGCAAACA
rnacentral:rRNA from 1 species